GGAGCUAACGCGUUAAGUCGACCGCCUGGGGAGUACGGCCGCAAGGUUAAAACUCAAAUGAAUUGACGGGGGCCCGCACAAGCGGUGGAGCAUGUGGUUUAAUUCGAUGCAACGCGAAGAACCUUACCUACUCUUGACAUCCAGAGAACUUAGCAGAGAUGCUUUGGUGCCUUCGGGAACUCUGAGACAGGUGCUGCAUGGCUGUCGUCAGCUCGUGUUGUGAAAUGUUGGGUUAAGUCCCGCAACGAGCGCAACCCUUAUCCUUUGUUGCCAGCGGUCAGGCCGGGAACUCAAAGGAGACUGCCAGUGAUAAACUGGAGGAAGGUGGGGAUGACGUCAAGUCAUCAUGGCCCUUACGAGUAGGGCUACACACGUGCUACAAUGGCGCAUACAAAGAGAAGCGACCUCGCGAGAGCAAGCGGACCUCAUAAAGUGCGUCGUAGUCCGGAUUGGAGUCUGCAACUCGACUCCAUGAAGUCGGAAUCGCUAGUAAUCGUGGAUCAGAAUGCCACGGUGAAUACGUUCCCGGGCCUUGUACACACCGCCCGUCACACCAUGGGAGUGGGUUGCAAAAGAAGUAGGUAGCUUAACCUUCGGGAGGGCGCUUACC
rnacentral:rRNA from 1 species